rnacentral:rRNA from 1 species
CCUACGGGUGGCAGCAGUGAGGAAUAUUGGUCAAUGGACGAGAGUCUGAACCAGCCAAGUAGCGUGAAGGAUGACUGCCCUAUGGGUUGUAAACUUCUUUUAUAUGGGAAUAAAAUGUUCCACGUGUGGGAUUUUGUAUGUACCAUAUGAAUAAGGAUCGGCUAACUCCGUGCCAGCAGCCGCGGUAAUACGGAGGUUCCGAGCGUUAUCCGGAUUUAUUGGGUUUAAAGGGAGCGUAGGUGGAUUGUUAAGUCAGUUGUGAAAGUUUGCGGCUCAACCGUAAAAUUGCAGUUGAAACUGGCAGUCUUGAGUGCAGUAGAGGUUGGCGGAAUUCGUGGUGUAGCGGUGAAAUGCUUAGAUAUCACGAAGAACCCCGAUUGCGAAGGCAGCUUACUGGGCUGUAACUGACACUGAUGCUCGAAAGUGUGGGUAUCAAACAGGAUUAGAUACCCGAGUAGUC